rnacentral:rRNA from 1 species
GAUGAACGCUGGCGGCGUGCCUAAUACAUGCAAGUCGAGCGAACGGACGAGAAACUUGCUUCUCUGAUGUUAGCGGCGGACGGGUGAGUAACACGUGGAUAACCUACCUAUAAGACUGGGAUAACUUCGGGAAACCGGAGCUAAUACCGGAUAAUAUUUUGAACCGCAUGGUUCAAAAGUGAAAGACGGUCUUGCUGUCACUUAUAGAUUGAUCCGCGCUGCAUUAGCUAGUUGGUAAGGUAACGGCUUACCAAGGCAACGAUGCAUAGCCGACCUGAGAGGGUGAUCGGCCACACUGGAACUGAGACACGGUCCAGACUCCUACGGGAGGCAGCAGUAGGGAAUCUUCCGCAAUGGGCGAAAGCCUGACGGAGCAACGCCGCGUGUGUGAUGAAGGUCUUCGGAUCGUAAAACUCUGUUAUUAGGGAAGAACAUAUGUGUAAGUAACUGUGCACAUCUUGACGGUACCUAAUCAGAAAGCCACGGCUAACUACGUG